UGAAACUCUCCCAUCCUUAUUACAAGUCUCUCUGAGAAAGUGCUUGUCUGCCAACGUAUCUCUUGGGCCUUAGCAUAUAUGGCUUGAUCCAUAACUAUCACUAUUUCUUUUUGUUUCAGAUUGACAGCAAUAGCAGUGGAGCGGCUCAGGAUGGUGUGGACAGUGUUGAGAUCUGUUGGGCUAGCAUCAAUGACAGGAAGAAUGCAGCAUCAGUUCUCCUUCCAGUGGUUUGGGCAUCUCUGUAUUUGUACUGCUGGAGAUCUACCUUGAGCACUACAUUCUGGGGACCAGACCUCCUUCCUCUUGUGUGAGCAAGGGCUGUAUCAUGCUCAAGAACCUGGGAGUUAGAUGAGCAGUGGCCAAGACCAUUCAACAACCCUAUGAGCUGU